rnacentral:lncRNA from 1 species
UGAUAGUAUUUGUCCAACUGAUGCUUCCCCUUUACUUUUUCCAUUCCAGUGGAUUUUCUUCCGAUGCUUUCCCUUUACAUGUAUACAUUGGGAGUUAAAGGAAAAAGGAGAAAGGAAGAUGUAAAAGAGUGAAUGUGUAAUAGCCCCAGAAAUUAAAAGGAAAUGUAUAUAAUUCUAAGUGCGGAAGCGAAAUAAAAGAUUAUGGUUAACAUCCCUUAUACAAUAACCAAAACGUACUAAACAUUUAAAAGAAUGAGCUAACUAAAGGAAAUACUAUAAAUGAAUACUAUAAGGAAAACUAUAAAAUCUUUAGGUAUCUACUCGCCGUCUUCCUGCGGAACGGGCUCGGGAACCAAGUCUUCCUGAUCUAAAAUGGUUAAG